rnacentral:lncRNA from 1 species
GUUCAAAGUCCACAUAGCCUGUGGUGGUGCAGCUGAGAUCUGGGGUGUGGGGAAUUGCCAUAGGACUGAGACUGGAGAGCCUGGCUGAGCAAGGAAGAGGACCCAGCCCCUCCCUCCCCACUGCUGAUAUAACAGCAUGAAAUUAAACCUAUUCCAGUCUGUGACAUCUGAUCCCUUUGACAUGACAUAGUACAACCUGUAGAGCCAGAGGUGGGGGCCAGGAAGCCCUGUUCUAGUCUCUCUGCACAACCUUGAGCCAUCUCAUCAUCUGCACAUCUGCCUGAACCUCAGUCUCCCACUCUGGACGUUGUCGGGGUGAUGGAGCAAGCAUUCAGUUAUUCUCUGCUGGAUUCUGAUGUGGUCUAAAGUCCACACUUUGUUGUGAAACACCGCAAUCUGUGAUGUACAGAACCUAUUACUGCGGCCACCCAGGAAUGCUGGGGGCAGGCCUUUUGAGAAGGUGAAUCAGCGUGUGUUAGCUCAGGGCAGAGGGCCUGGCGGUGAGACGUGAGAACAGCCAAUGUCAUGGCGGUGGGGGAGUGGACGUGAGCCAUCUGGGGCCCAGCAAACAGCAUGUUGAAAAAAACGAGGAACUCAAAGGCAGAUGAGCCUACCACGCUGGGAACAGUUGGGAGUACAUUGCUCAAGGUGUGUGGAGUGCAUGGAACAUGUCUGUGUGUUAGAUGGCUAUAUGUAUAUGUGGUGUGUGAUAUAUGUGUAUGUAUGUGUGUUGUAUGUAUAUGUGUAUAUGUGUAUAUAUAUAGUACAUGUGUGUGAUAUAUGUGUAUGUGUGUGUGAUAUAUGUGUAUGUAUGUGUGUUGUAUGUAUAUGUGUAUAUGUAUAUGAUCAUUAUAUAUGUGUGUGUGGUAUAUAUGUAUAGGGCGGUGUGUGUAUGUGUAUGUGUGUGUGUGUGUGUGUGUGUGUGUGUGUGUUCACCUAUGUGUACAAAUGUAGAGGUCAGAAGUCAAACAUUGGGUGUCUCCUUCUAUGGAUGAAGCCCCGGCCAGUUUUAUGUCACUGCUGGUGUGAAGCAGUGAACAGUGACCCAGCAUGCAUCCAGGUGGCGGGACAGAGUCAGACUCUCCAGGGCAGAGAGACUCUAAAACUGACGGCCAGGUCUUGCUCAGACUACGGGCCUGAGGGAAGAUCCAAGACUGAAACAGGGCUUGGAAUGGAGGGGGUGGAGUUGAGGAGAUCACAGAGGACCUAGGAGUGUGUGUAUCGGAGAGAGAUAGGAAACCACUGACCGUUCAGCACACAUUCAGAAUUACUGCCUGUCCCAGGGAGGGACCCACAGCUCCGGCGCUCCGUUCAGCAUCUGGAAGAGCAUAGCUCGCUGUGAGCGGCCGCCCCAGAAGACUGUAUCCCACCCAGCCAGCUCUCCUGCCUGCUUGCCUCUGCCCCACACCAGGACACUUCAUACUGUCAGAACCACUGGGUGUGUGAGCUUGUGAGAGGGUGUGUGGGCACACAUGUCCCUGUGUGGGGUGUGGAGGUCAGAGGGCAACUUGGAGGAAUUGGUUCUCUCCUUCCACCACUGGGGCCCAGGAAUCAAGCCGAGGUUCCCAGACGUGGUAGCAGCCUCCCUUACCUGUUAAACCAGUGCUUCCCAGACUUCCUAAUGCUGUGACCUCAUGCUGUGCUGACCCCCGCCCA